rnacentral:lncRNA from 1 species
AUCACCCUGGCUUCAGCUGCUUACUUCCCUUUAGACUUGCCAGAGAGUAUCCUAUAGCCUUCAGGGGUUGAGAUGAACAUCCUACUCUUCCCCAUGAGAGCUGAAUAUCAAAGAGCAGAGUACCUUUCAUGUACAAACAAAUUGCAGUGCCCAGGGCAAAGAGCUGAAAUGAUUGAACAGAAAUUCUGUGCCUGACAGCAGAUUGUGAGUGUAUUAAUCCACACCAUUUGUCUAUGUACGAUUUUCUCCUCCCAUCCUUGGGGAAACAGUACAGAAAACCUGUCCCAUGUACUGCAUCCCUUGUGCUUCGUCAUAAGCUCCAACAAUGUCUCAGCUGGAUAGUUUGGGUUUAUCCUUUUCUAUGAUUUCUUUCUUGAAUUAAACAAGAGUCAUGGGCUGAGGUGACAAACAUGAAGAUCUGGCUAUCUGAAGCUGCAAAAACAAACAACUGAGAGCUGUUACCAAGGAAGCUGGAGUCUGCAUUUUUCAGAAGCUGUAUUCAAAUUGAGUAAAAGAACUCUAAGAGGAUCAAUAACAAUUACUGUGGAGAAGAAUGAUCUAGUGCAUGCCUAGAAGGAUUUAUAGGGAUCUGUUGGUCAGAAGUGGAAUGUCAAGUUGGAGCUAUACUCUCUGGCUUACAAAGCUUUAAAAGCCAGUGAGAUUUCCUGAAAGACUGGAUGUGAGGACUGUGACAAGUCAAGAGAAUUGAGAAUUUUGUCUUGACUUGAAAAAUUCUGGGAUGAAUGGGAGAAGUUGUGGCGAUGGUGGAGAGGUUAGGAGUUAAAUUAAGGCUUCUUAAAUUUAAUACAAAUAGUUGGACAUGUGAUGCGUGACAUUAGAAUAGAGAAAAAGUAUCAGAUUUAGGCAAUAUACAGUAUUUAUGGUGUUAAUGGGAAGGACAUGUAAAUGCUAUAAAAAUUCUAGAAAGGUCCUCAGAUACUCAACAUUGAGUUUGGGAGAUGAGAAGAAACAGAAUAAAAGACAAAGUAAUAGCUGGUCCUUGGUGAAAGAAUAACUUACUGGAACACAAGAGUUUCAAGGGUUGAGGAAAAUAAUGUCACAAGCUGCUUACAGGACCAGGAGUAAGGGCCCAGGAGUAAGACCAUCUCUAGAUGUGUUAGUGAGAAAGUCACCUAAGCCUAUGAAGUAGCUAACUGAGGAAUCUCUGUCCUUAGGUGAACAUGGAGACUCACCAAAGAGUUUGCCAUCGAAAGUUAAUAAGAAGUUUUCCCAAAGUUUAAAGCUGAGGUGCUGAGAAUCUGUUACAAACAUGCUGAGAGCUGCCAUAGGCAUAUACAGCAGACAGGGUUUCUCUGUGGCUUUGGAGAAGAAAACAUUUUUUAUACUACCAAACAGUGGGCUGCAUGGUACGUCCAUAAAGAUCUAGACUUCUACCCAUUGCUGGAUCACAUGCAGUUAAUAUUCUACGUAUUUUUUUGUUCUGUGCAAAGAGGAAGAGACAUGUGCAUGAGAGUCAAUUGGCAGUUGUCAACAGUGUAUAUUACACUCUACCUUGGAAUGCAGCAUGGCUACAACCAAUAAGGAUCUACAAUCAUAUUUAUAAUAUGGACAGAAAACUUGAAAGAUUCAAAAAGAAAAAAAUCAAUCAAUGUCAACUUUGAGAACUAUAGAGACAAAAAUCAUCACCCUACUUUGCUGCUAUGAGUUCUAAACCAUUGAAAGAAUAAGCAGAAUUAAAGUUAAUGAUAUACAAUAUAUUAACUCUAUUACAGGAAAAUUAUCUUGGAGAGUUUACCUUUAUUUGUAGGCAUUAAGAAACCUCAGGACAAGAAGGGUUACCCAUUCAGGAAGAGGAAUACUUGAACUGCUAACAGUUCAGGGGCUUUGCCCUGUGGGGAUUUUUCCACUAUGAGAAGAAAGAGACAAGGUAUAUAACAUUGUAUGUUCAAAAAAACAUGAUAAUUUCUAAAGGUAAAAGGAAGAAAUUCCAAAGAACUUUAUUGCUUCUUAUUUUUCCAAUAAGAUACAUUAUUUCUUUGUUGAACAACUGUGUGGUACAGGGAGGGAGUCAGUAAUGAUACAUCAAUGAAACUCCUACCAUAUGAACAAAACAUCACGAAGAAAUAGAAUCCAUUUCUAGACUAUCAUCUUCCCCAACUUUUUGUUCCUGUACUGAAUUAGGCAAAGCCACUUCAUUGAUAAGUAUCCCAUAGUAUCAUCA